UACGAGUGCUUCGAGCGUUAUCCGGAAUCAUUGGGCGUAAAGGGCUCGUAGGCGGCCAACUAAGUCAGACGUGAAAUCCCUCAGCUUAACUGGGGAACUGCGUCUGAUACUGGAUGGCUUGGAUUCGGGAGAGGAAUGCGGAAUUCCAGGUGUAGCGGUGAAAUGCGUAGAUAUCAGGAAGAACACCCGUGGCGAAGGCGGCUUUCUGGGACGGUACUGACGCUGAGACGCGAAAGCGUGGGGAGCGAACAGG
rnacentral:rRNA from 1 species